rnacentral:rRNA from 1 species
AUUGAACGCUGGCGGCAUGCCUAACACAUGCAAGUCGAACGGCAGCACGGCAGUAGCAAUACUGUGGGUGGCGAGUGGCGGACGGGUGAGGAAUACGUCGGAAUCUGCCCAGUCGUGGGGGAUAACUAGCCGAAAGGUUAGCUAAUACCGCAUACGACCGAGAGGUGAAAGCGGGGGACCGCAAGGCCUCGCGCGAUUGGAUGAGCCGACGUCGGAUUAGCUAGUUGGUGGGGUAAAGGCCCACCAAGGCGACGAUCCGUAGCUGGUCUGAGAGGAUGAUCAGCCACACUGGAACUGAGACACGGUCCAGACUCCUACGGGAGGCAGCAGUGGGGAAUAUUGGACAAUGGGCGCAAGCCUGAUCCAGCAAUGCCGCGUGUGUGAAGAAGGCCUCGGUUG